rnacentral:rRNA from 1 species
GAUGAACGCUGGCGGCGUGCCUAAUACAUGCAAGUCGAACGCAGUGGGGAAGGGUGAGGAACACGUCCGUAACCUCCCCAUCAGAGGGGAUAACACUUGGAAACAGGUGCUAAACCGAUACUGAUGGAUGGACCCGCGGUGCAUUAGCUAGCUGGUGAGGUAACGGCUCACCAAGGCAACGAUGCAUAGCCGACCUGAGAGGGUGAGCGGCCACACUGGGACUGAGACACGGCCCAGACUCCUACGGGAGGCAGCAGUAGGGAAUCUUCGGCAAGGGACGAAAGUCUGACCGAGCAACGCCGCGUGAGUGAAGGAGGUGUUCGGAGCGUAAAACUCUGUUGUUAGAGAAGCGGUAGCUAACCAGAAAGCAACGGCUAACUACGUGCCAGCCGCCGCGGUAAUUC